rnacentral:lncRNA from 1 species
GGAGUGGAAGGCUCUGUCUCAGGUGCACACUUAGUACUCUUCCAGCAUUCUUUAGCCCUUUAUUUAUUUUAGGUAUUCUGGUAUUUCCGAUGUAAUUUUGAAGUGUCUAGAGUAUAUUAUAGUAACUAAAACUGCAGCUCUGAAGCUGAGUGAAAGAAGAAAAUACUGUAAGAUGUCCUUGAAGUUUUGUUUGGGUACUGUAAAUGAGAUCGGGAAGAGGAAAAAUGUCUCACAGCCACAUUGGAAGCUACAGGUUCUUGUCCCCAAAUUAGGCUAGUCUCAGAUGGUGGAUCAAAACUCUAACUUCAUUUAACCCCCUUCUUGAGUGAUCUUGUCACCCCGGCAGCCUAUUCCCCACAAGUAUGAGAAAUCAUUUUAUCAGAUGUUGCCUGGAAGCCAUACUGAAAUAAUUCCCACAUGAUCACUGUUGUGCUCCUUCUGGUCCUUACAAUUGCUGGAGGAAAAUGAUGACAACACUAUGAGUGGAAGGGGCAUCUGAACCAUCAGGGUUGGAGUCUGACGUGUUGAAUCCCUUGUUUUCUUACUAGGUCAGAUGCUUUGCUAAGUCAUAAAAAAUGUGUUUGCACUCUGCAAUCUUUGGCUCAGUGUAUGGAAGUGUUUGCACUGAUGUAAAUGCCCAAGCACAUGAUAAAUUGCUAUGGAACAGACAUUAGCUGAAAACUGAAUAAUGCGUUCUGUUUAUAGGGUGGGGUGGGGAAUACCGCAUAACUCUGCUCUAAGCUUGGUAUUUGAUGUUAAUGUGAAGCAGUGGGUCCAUGCUGCCUGCUAAACUACUGUAUGCGUCAUAAGUGUUGUGAAGACCAGCAGCUGAAGGCUGGAGGACAGCAGCCAUUGAACAGAGGAGAAGCACCACUGGCUUAUCGGGGGAGAGGAAGAAAAUCAGAAGAGGCCCAGAGUCACCAUUUGUAAGAGAAAUGUUAGGGUGUUACAUGACGCUGUUGAGAGCCACACUUGAUUGCACUGCUCCACAGAGCCCUCAGAUAAGGCCAAUCCUCAUGGGCUACCUCGGCUUUCAAAGUUAACUUCAGUAAGUCUUUCACCUCUACCUUCAGUGCCACGAUUUUCCACUGCAGUGUUUCAACUUCACAAAACCGACUUCUCCGGAGAGAACAACACCUUGCUGCGAUGGGCAGUAGAAGCAAGUGCUUACCACAUUUGACCUGUAAAGUGUUUGGAGUGAUGGCUAGGUGGAAAUUGGAUUUAGCUUCUCCCCACACAUCCUUGUUUUGCACUUUAUGCAAAGUGUACUAAUUGCUAAUUAGAUGUUGUUUCUGUUCAUACAGGCAUUCCCAAAGAGUUAGACUGGACUUGGUUUUGAGUUUGGGGAUUGUUAAAGUCUUACUUAGAUUAACUAACAACAUGUGUCUAAUGAAGACAGAAGCAGCUCUGUAGUUCACGGACCCAUGUAUCUGAAGAAGCGUCAGGGUUUCAUGGACUACUUGGCUUGUGUUUGAAAGUGAUAGCUAAGUUGGUAUUACUCCAUGCCGAGUGACUGUCCUUUUCCAUGGGGACAUUGUUACCUUCUUACAUUUCAGAACAAAGAAGCAACAGAAGUAAAUGACAUAUGUUUGACUUCUUUGUAUAUCUGCACCUAUCUGUGCUACUCUUUCCUUCAAAUAUAAAAAUACACAUUUAUGAGGGAGGAAAAGGUUCCUCUUUUGACCAAAUUUUAUAUGUGGUGGUGUGAUUUUUACUGAUAAAUUCACAGGAGGAACUUUGUAGUCAAAAGUUCUGUGGCUACUGUUUUGCUUUGUUCUUUUUUGGCUUUUUUCUGUUUUGUUUUGUUUUUUGUUGUUUUUUUUUUUGUUUUUUACUUUCUUUCUUGGCAGCCAGCGGUCAAACUGAUCAUGCCUUCAGAUUUAUUUUCAUACACAGAACUAGUUUUUGUGAACAUUGUUACUACUUCCAAAGAUUUUCUCAUACCUUGGGCCAGGACUGGUGACCGAGUAACAAGAGUCUGACUGAACGCCUCCAAACCCACCCACAGCACGAAUCUUACCUCACAAGCUCUUACCUAAAUCAUAGAGAAACUCAUGUUCCAUGCAAUGUCACUGACUUCUCUGUUGCUCUCCAGAAGGUGUUUGCUAGCUCUUGUCUCCUGACACCUCACAUUAGUGCCUGGGCUCUCAGAGCAGCAGAACCUAGGGUCUGGAAGGCUGGGGACCUUGAGCUUUUAGCAAGUGUUCAGCCACAUUUUCAUGUCAUUAGCACUAACAAGCCUCUGGCUCUCAGGAAUUUGUCAAAAGGUUGAUGAAACCUCCUGAGGUUCCACACACCAGGUUAUAAACUGGUUCACGUAGGUUUGAACUGCUUACAUUCAUGUCAUAAAUUAACCAUAGCUUCAUUUGACCCCAGGUCUUAAGUCUGUUGACAGUUUCAGCAUGACUGAUUCGCUCAUUUUAUUUUUUUAUUUUUUUUUGCUUUGGAAAUUGGCUUGGUUCUCUUUAGAGUUGGUGUAAACAUGCCAUGUAAUAAAUGAUUUCCAGUUAAUGGUACAAGAGAAUUAUUGCUUUCUUAGAUGUAUGUGUAGUAAAAGUCAAUAUACACAUUUAUAUAAUUUCUUCAAAAUCUUAUACCUAAUUUGAUAUUUCUAAAAAUUGCACAUGUAAGUCAUGUGUAUAACAUGCUAAAGUACUUUAACUGUGAUCUUAAAACUGAAUAAAAUAUUUAAUAAAAAUUUGAAAUAUUUUAAAGAUAUUAUUCAAAUACAUUUCUUUAUGUUCUCACUACCGACUAUAGAAUAUGUGCCUUCAGUGUUAUCCUGUCCACUAAAAAUAGUAGAGAAAAUAAUAAAGGAUUCUUCAACC